rnacentral:rRNA from 1 species
AACUUUCAACAACGGAUCUCUUGGUUCUGGAUCGAUGAAGAACGCAGCGAAAUGCGAUACGUAAUGCGAAUGCAGAUCAGUGAGUCAUCGAUCUUUGAACGCACAUUGGCGAGUAUUCUGGCGGCAUGCCUGUUCGAGCGUCAUUUC